GACGAACGCUGGCGGCGUGCCUAAUACAUGCAAGUCGAGCGGACCAAAGGGAGCUUGCUCCUGGAGGUCAGCGGCGAACGGGUGAGUAACACGUGGGCAACCUGCCUGUAAGACUGGGAUAACAUCGAGAAAUCGGUGCUAAUACCGGAUAAUAAAAAGAACUGCAUGGUUCUUUUUUGAAAGAUGGUUUCGGCUAUCACUUACAGAUGGGCCCGCGGCGCAUUAGCUAGUUGGUGAGGUAACGGCUCACCAAGGCAACGAUGGGUAGCCGACCUGAGAGGGUGAUCGGCCACACUGGGACUGAGACACGGCCCAGACUCCUACGGGAGGCAGCAGUAGGGAAUCUUCCGCAAUAGACGAAAGUCUGACGGAGCAACGCCGCGUGAGUGAUGAAGGUUUUCGGAUCGUAAAACUCUAGUUGUUAGGGAAGAACAAGUGCCGUUCGAAAGGGCGGCACCUUGACGGUACCUAACGAGAAAGCCACGGCUAACUACGUGCCAGCAGCCGCGGU
rnacentral:rRNA from 1 species